rnacentral:rRNA from 1 species
GUCGAGAAUCUUCCGCAAUGGGCGCAAGCCUGACGGAGCGACGCCGCGUGGAGGAUGAAGGCCUUCGGGUUGUAAACUUCUGUCACAGGUUAAGAAUGGUGCAGGCUUAAUACGUCUGCAUUUGACAAAGGCUUGAGAGGAAGCACCGGCUAACUCCGUGCCAGCAGCCGCGGUAAUACGGAGGGUGCAAGCGUUACUCGGAUUCACUGGGCUUAAAGCGCACGCAGGCGGUUUCGCAAGUCCGCUGUGAAAUCCCCCGGCUUAACCGGGGAAUUGCAUCGGAAACUGCGGAGCUCGAGGACGGUAGGGGAGAGUGGAACUCCUGGUGGAGCGGUGAAAUGCGUAGAUAUCAGGAGGAACACCGGUGGCGAAGGCGACUCUCUGGUCCGUCCCUGACGCUGAGGUGCGAAAGCCAGGGGAGCAAACGGGAUUAGAAACCCUUGUAGUCC